rnacentral:lncRNA from 1 species
UUCUGUAUCGCCAUCACAUGGCUGGUACUAGUGCUUUUCUUGAUGUCAGCCUCUGCUGUUUUAAGCAUGCCACACAGCUCAUUCAGACCCUUCUCCGUCCCAUGCAUAUGGUAGUUCGAGAUGAAGUUCCCAUAGCUAGGCGGAAGAGACGAAAGAAUAAAAUCAGUGGCCAACUCUUGGCCCAGUGGGAAGCCCAGCUUCUCCAACCGUUGAGUGUAACCAACCAUCUUGAUUACGUGUGGUCCUACUGCUGCGCCUUCUGCUAGCUUGCUCUCAA